GCCCGCUUAGCUCAGCGGUAGAGCGCGUCACUAGUACCUCCCGCGAGUGCGGAACGCCCAACGGGCAAUGACGAGGUCGGUUGUUCGAUUCAGCCAGUGGGCA
rfam:Malassezia globosa CBS 7966 mgl_sf_6.1, whole genome shotgun sequence.